rnacentral:tRNA from 1 species
UGCCUAGUGGCCCAGAUGGUAAAGAAUCUGCCUGCAAUGCAGAAGACCCAGGUUUAAUCCCUGGCUUGGGAA